rnacentral:rRNA from 1 species
UAGGGAAUAUUAGAAAUGGACGAAAGUCUGAUCUAGCAACACCGCGUGUGCGAUGAAGGCCUUCGGGUUGUAAAGCACUUUUUGGAAGGGUUAGGAAGGAAUGUACUUCCAGAAUAAGUCUCGGCUAACUACGUGCCAGCAGCCGCGGUAAUACGUAGGAGGCGAACGUUAUCCGGAUUUACUGGGCGUAAAGCGCGUGUAGGUGGUUCUGUAAGUAGGGCGUGAAAGCUCCUGGCUCAACUGGGAGAGGCCGUUCUAAACUGCAGAGCUAGAGGAUGGUAGAGGGAGGUGGAAUUCCGGGUGUAGCGGUGGAAUGCGCAGAUAUCCGGAGGAACACCAGUGGCGAAGGCGGCCUCCUAGACCAUUCCUGACACUCAGACGCGAAAGCUAGGGUAGCAAACGGG